rnacentral:rRNA from 1 species
GACGAACGCUGGCGGCGUGCUUAACACAUGCAAGUCGAACGGAAAGGCCCGGCUUUUGUGGGGUGCUCGAGUGGCGAACGGGUGAGUAACACGUGAGUAACCUGCCCUUGACUUUGGGAUAACUUCAGGAAACUGGGGCUAAUACCGGAUAGGAGCUCCUGCUGCAUGGUGGGGGUUGGAAAGUUUCGGCGGUUGGGGAUGGACUCGCGGCUUAUCAGCUUGUUGGUGGGGUAGUGGCUUACCAAGGUUUUGACGGGUAGCCGGCCUGAGAGGGUGACCGGCCACAUUGGGACUGAGAUAGGGCCCAGACUCGUACGGGAGGCAGCAGUGGAGAGUAUUGCACAAUGGGCGGAAGCCUGAUGCAGCAACGCCGCGUGCGGGAUGACGGGCUUCGGGUUGUGAACCGAUUUCGCCUGUGACGAAGCGUGAGUGACGGUAAUGGGUAAAGAAGCACCGGCUAACUACGUG